rnacentral:rRNA from 1 species
CUUGGUUCAGGACGAACGCUGGCGGCGUGCCUAAUACAUGCAAGUCGAACGGUCUUUUCUAUGGAAGCUUGCUUCCACUGAGAAGAUAGUGGCGAACGGGUGAGUAACACGUGGGCAACCUGCCCAUAAGAGGGGGAUAACAUCCGGAAACGGGUGCUAAUACCGCAUAGUUUUCUUGAUCGCAUGAUCGGGAAAGGAAAGACGGCCUUUGUGCUGUCGCUUAUGGAUGGACCCGCGGCGUAUUAGUUAGUUGGUGAGGUAACGGCUCACCAAGACGAUGAUACGUAGCCGACCUGAGAGGGUGAUCGGCCACAUUGGGACUGAGACACGGCCCAAACUCCUACGGGAGGCAGCAGUAGGGAAUCUUCCGCAAUGGACGAAAGUCUGACGGAGCAACGCCGCGUGAGUGAAGAAGGCCCUUCGGGCCGUAAAGCUCUGUCUUCAGGGAAGAACAACCAGGGUGUGAAUAAUGCUCUGGCCUGACGGUACCUGAGGAGGAAGCUCCGGCUAACUACGUGCCAGCAGCUGC